UUUUCUUCGGCUUUAACUUUCUUUUAAUACUAUUUUUUUUACAAAUCAAGAAAUUUUCAUUUAUAGAGCAAGAAUUUGGGGUUUAUAUCUGCCACAAUUGGGAUGCGCUUCCUAGAAGGUAACAAAGGAGAAGUUUGUAACUAAAUAGUUAGAGUACUUCGCAUCCUCAAUCUUCACGAUCAUGAUCAGUUCUAGACUCGACAAACUAGAAUAAUAUCACUACUACCCCGACUCUAGAUGAAAACCGAAAGUAAAAAAGACAAGACAACGUUUCUCAAAACCAAAUCAACCGCUCAAACAAAACAGCAAACUAAGAAAGAACGGAAGGGGUAGCUGAUCGCACAAUCGCCAAGGUGGAUUGACCGGUGAUCUACAAAGCCGACGCUUUUAGAGGGUUAAAGGGCUAGACUAGUCGCCUCGAGCUGACUCGUCUGUACUUCAAUUCUCGAUGGAUCCGUCGGUUCCGGUGGAAUAGCAGUGGUGAUGCGGCUGAGCUUUUGAACUUGGAGAGUGAUGAGGUCAUCGAUGGUCAGCUCUGCAGAAUUCGCCAAGACCAUCGCUGGAUUCGCUACCGUUAACCUAGUGUUAGAGUCUUCGGUUAUUGAUGGUUACCUUCGCCGUCCGGCUGAUGCCAAACCCCUUCCCCUAGAUCCUCCUUCCAGAGUUCAAUCUUUGCUUCGAAGUCAGUUGGAUUUGGGUCGGCUUGGCUGCCGCCGACGUUGCCAUAGCUGUAUGCUUUGGCAUGUUUGAUGGAGGCGACGGCUGAGGAGAUGAACGGAAUACAUGCGAGAAGCCGUCAAUAAGCGGCGAGUCUCACAAAGGAGACUAACAAAAACCAUACACGAGGGCUAUCCGAAUGUUUCUUUUUUUUAAUACUAUGAUGUGGUUUGAUUAGAAAAAAUUGAGGGUCAACAGUUUCACCUUAGUUAUAAGAAGCUUUUCAGCUGGUUUUGUAGAUUAUAACGAAACCCACUUUGAAUAUCUGGAAAGUUGCAGUUCGGGC
rnacentral:lncRNA from 1 species